CAUCAGUAAGGCAAAGGCAGAGAGUGUUGGUAGAAUGUGAUUCUAUCCAGGAGUGAAAUAAAAACAGAAAGCAGUUGAGUUUUUUUUUGUACAGCAUUUCUACUGUUCUAGCAACGACAAAAAUAUACUUGUACGUACAAAAUAUCAGAUACAAAUUAUAAUUCUGACGAUUUCCCGUAUGAGUUAAAUGUUCUUAUAUUUGUAUCUAAAACUGGUAUUGUGCAAUGUAAUGAUGAAUGGUAAAAUUCAUGUUAGUAAUUAAAAAUUUUAAUUUUUCUUUACUUAGAAUGGCAUCAAGGCAUCAAAUAGCAAAUAAAAAGUAUCACGACAAGAUGAGAGAGAGAGACUGGAAGAAAGAAGAAAGCUCUAUAUUUUAGUAACUUCAAGGACACUUUUUUCCUGCUUUUUGAAGAAGAGGUCCCACAUUUUCAGUUUGAACAAGGAGCCCCACAAUUGUGAGAACAGCCUGACAGAGGGCAUGGAUACUGAGGAUACGAGGCCCACUCAGAUCCCGGAGUUAUUAAGAGAGGAAGAAACCGGUGCUUUGAAAGGUUGAACAACCUGCCCACAUCACUUGACUGGCAAGCAGCACAGCCAAUCACCAUGGACCCACAGCCUCAGCCACCAACUUCUCUCUGUCCUGCCUGCUGGGGUAACACAACUAAUUCUUUUGCCCCUGUCUCCUUGGAUGUCAGGCUCCUCCUGUAUAUAGGGACUUGAAAAAGCUGUCCUGGAGUUUGGAGCAGAUUCAGCUAAAGGCCAUCACAUUUUGGGAACAGAAUGACGAAAGUCAACAGAACACAGUGAGUCUCUGCAGGAGAACCACCCGAAGGCAUGGCUCUGAGCUGGAGAAAGGGCCAAGCCUGACUAAUGAGUCAAGGUGGCCGGAGCUGACUACCUGUAGAAAGGCAAGGUAUGUCUCAGCUGAGGCCAGACGGACCUGUGUGUCAGGAGCCUUGGCCAG
rnacentral:lncRNA from 10 species